CAGAGCGUAGCUAAGAAAGCAAAGCCCCUCACUUACACUGAGAUGAUACCCGUGCAACUCGAGUCGCCCUGA
rnacentral:tRNA from 1 species